AAGCAGGGGAACAGAAAAAGAGAGAUAGAUAACAACAGAGCACAAGAGGGUGAACGAGAACGGGAACGACAAAACCGAAGGUAGAAGAAGAAUUGAAAGAGUUGGUUGGUGGAUAUGGCGAUGCGUGACCUCGUUACGGGUUCCACAGCAUGUGGUGACCCAUCUUCUUCUUCUUCAUCUUCGGCGAACCCUCUCGCUGCUCUCGCUAACGCCCUUAUUGGCUCUUCCUCCAAGACUCAGGAGAGGCUGAAGGAGAUUCCCACAUCCACUCCAACUGACCCCACCUCCCAACUUUACUCCCAGGCUCUACCUGGAACCUACCUUCCUGGUUCCGAACUCGAUAAGCCUCUUUUCGAUGCUAACUCUCAGGGGUCGGAGUUUUUGCAAAGGUUCCGCGGCACGGUUGGGCUCGAGGAGACGUGGGAUGAGAUACAGCGUGAGGGUGGAUUUAUCCAAACUCAUGGCUCUCAAUUGCGCCAACUGCCGCCACCCGCACUUCAACAGCCGCCAUUGGAUGGGACACCGCAAAGAGUUCUAUCUAGCUUUUUGCACUCAUUUCUUGAUAGCGGCCGUGGUGGAAUACCUUUUCAUCCUGCCCCUCUUCCAUUAUUGGGUUUAUCAGAAGGUGAUAAGCAAUGCAUAUGUGACCGUAGCAGCAUAAUGGCCAGGCAUCUCUUUGCAGAUAAAAGUGAAGAAUUUAUCAAUUCCCAAGUAAAUGCACUUCUUUGCUCUCUAGAUAUUGAUGGCAAUGUCCGUGGUAAGGGACCUAUGCCUGAAAGAUUUCGGGAGCUUGAAGAUUACUGGAAUGAGUCUCAAGGCAACCUGAGACAUGGUCCUCCUGCUGCAGACGGAUGGAUUACUGAAUUUAGUCAACAUAGGGAAAACCUUGACAAUCCUGAUUCAUGGGCUAACUCAUUUGAGCAACAGUAUGGUGUAAAUGGUUGGGUUUCUGAAUUUGAACAUUCCCAAUUGUCAUCAGCAGAUCAAAUGCGUGGUAUGAACAUUCCAAACUUUGCUGCAAUGGAGCAGACUCGUAUGCUUGCAAAUACAUUGGCCCAAAAUGGUGACCCUAAAUUUCAGAACUCUAAAUUCCUUCAAUUUGUAUCAAAGAUGAGCCGUGGUGAGUUGAUUAUUGAUGACAAUCAAGUUAAAGAGACUGCAUUACCCGCAUCUGGAGAUUGGGCAGCAGAAUACCAGCAGCAAUAUAAUGAUGGUCAUGCAUGGGCUGGUGAAUUUUUAAAUGAUAAGGUUUAUCAUGGACCUGAUCAGUGGGCGAAUGAAUUUACAACUGAAGGACGACAGCAUGAUGCAGUUGAUGAUCAGUGGGUUAAUGAAUUCUCAAAGUUGAAUGUUAAUGAUUGGGCAGAUGAAUUUGGUCAUCAGAUUGGUGAAGGAGCCUUAGGGGAGAGCUCUGAUAAUUGGGCACAGGCAUACGAUGAGUUCCUAAAUGAGCAAGUUGCUGCGAAGCAGCAGUUGGAUAGUUCAAGGGGUGUAUAUGUCUUUUCAGAUUUAAAUCCUUAUGUUGGUCAUCCAAAUCCGCUAAAAGAAGGCCUAGAUCUAUUUAGAAAAGGACUUCUAAGUGAAGCAGUUCUAGCAUUGGAAGCUGAAGUCUUAAAAAACCCUGAGAAUGCUGAAGGGUGGAGACUGCUUGGAAUAGCACAUGCAGAGAAUGAUGAUGAUCAGCAGGCCAUUGCAGCUAUGAUGCGUGCACAGGAGGCUGAUCCAACAAAUCUGGAAGUGCUUCUUGCUCUUGGUGUUAGUCAUACAAAUGAACUGGAGCAAAUGGCUGCUCUGAAGUAUCUGUAUGGAUGGUUGCGCCAUCACCCAAAAUAUGGAACACUUGCCCCACCUGAAAUGGCUGAUUCUUUGUACUAUGCUGAUGUUGCUAGGUUAUUCAAUGAAGCAGCUGAACUUUCACCUGAUGAUGCUGAUGUCCACAUAGUACUUGGGGUCCUGUACAACUUAUCCAGAGAAUAUGACAAAGCCAUUGCAUCUUUUGAAAGAGCACUGAAACUUAAGCCACAGGAUUACUCUCUUUGGAACAAGCUUGGUGCAACUCAAGCAAACAGUGUCCAAAGUGCUGAUGCAAUAAUGGCUUAUCAACAGGCGCUGGAUUUAAAGCCUAAUUAUGUUCGUGCUUGGGCAAAUAUGGGCAUCAGCUAUGCGAACCAGGGUAUGUAUGAUGAGUCUAUUCGAUAUUACGUUCGAGCACUUGCCAUGAAUCCGAAGGCAGAGAAUGCAUGGCAAUAUUUGAGAAUUUCAUUGAGCUGUGCUUCUAGGAAUGACAUGUUGGAAGCUUGUGAUAGUCGUAAUUUGGACCUUCUCCAGAAAGAGUUUCCUCUACAGUAAGUUUUGACUUUAAAUGAGUGGAUGAAUUAGAGGAGGGUCAGUUCCAGUGCGCAGAAAUUUCUAGGAGAGCUGAAAGACUUGUCAAGUGACUAAGCUGCAGGUGUAUAUGAGGCUUAUUCUAUUGAUCUUUGAACACAUGGUGUAUACCAUGAAAGUACAUCAUCCAGACCUACACUGGAUUUAGGCAGUUACAGAUUCCAUUUCUGAAUGUCAUACAAAAGCUAUUUACGACGGAACAGCUGCAGUACUGAAUUUAUGGAAUGUAGCUAUUCCAUUAUGAAGUUGGGUUGUCGAGUAUGUAGAUAUAUAAUAAGUGUCCAAGUUUAAACGCACAUCAUGUAUCUAAUUUGUUUUGUUAUUAUUUGAUCAACAAUUACCCUUGAUUUUCUGGUUUACUACACGGUAACUCGGCGAUGAACCUGACUACACCCCCUUUCAUUCUUCUGGAGACUGGAACCGUGUGUUCCCGGAUUCAAAGCACUGCACUGUCUAUAUAUGAUCAGUAUAAAUUAUGAAGCAAAUUACUUGAUACCAAGUGUAGUGUUAUAUCCUUUUGGUAAUACUCCUCAGCGAGAAAGAGAGCGCUUGUUGAGUUUCAACUCUUAAGCAUCAUUCAUUUUUUAGUUUACUUUUUUUCAGUCUAAAUAUACUUAACGAGUGAUUGGAAACACGUUGAAAACUUUAUAUGUGGAUCUAUAGCCAUUCACACGUAAAGCUAAAAACUAUCAAAUUGUAGUUUCUAUCUUUCAAUACAACUUCAAUUUUCAUU